CAAUACAAUGAUGAUUGAGAUAUUGAAAGAAGCCUGAUACUCAUAUUUUUACUAAAAAAAAAGUAGGCUUGAAGGAGUUAAAUGUGUGUCAUUUCUGUGCCUAUAAAUGGCAUCAAGCAGAAAUGCAAAAAAUAAAAUGUUUUCGAACAGGUUUCCUGAAUUUUCCCACCAUCUGCCAUUGUCAUGCUGUCUAGUCUCUGUUUCCCUGGGUGUCCAAUAGUGGGCUCACUUCCCCUUAGGCACUUCACCGUAGGCACUAGAAUUCCACUAGUCUUGUCCUGUCAUCACAGUAAUUGCACUCCUGCUAAUUGCACCAUGUGCAUUCACUUUAUUGUCAUUAGCCUCCCUAUAAAUACCAGUCUUUUCAUGUUGUUUGUAUGGAGUCCUUACCUUUCAUGUUUCAGCCUUCUCAUCCUCCGAGAUUCUCCUUUGUCUUCUCGUCCUCCAAGUUCCCAUUCCGUUCCCUUUCCUGUUCCCUCUUUUAUUUAUUUGUUUGUUUAUUUUGGACUGCUUGUUUGGUUUUUACCUUGGCUUGUUCGACCACAAUUUGGGUUAUCCUAAUAAAGAACAUCUGCAAUUGGAUCUACUAUCUCUUGUGUCUCACUAAACACGAUCGUCACAGAAGGACUCCAUCUACAAGAUCCAGCAGUAUGUUUUUUGAUGCUUGCUGCCCAGCCACUGAGCUGGAUAAAGGAUAUGGUUUUGAGGGUACCCGCCUGGUCGUGUUUCGAGGGAAGAGGAGGCGCAAGUCUGCCGAGCCAGCACCACUGCACAAGAUGGCCCCCAGCCCAGCGACACUGCACAAGAUGGCUGUCAGCCCAGCGCCACGAGGCAAGAUGGACGCCAGCACAGCGCCACAGCUAAAAGUGGUCACCAGCCCAGCGCCACGAUGCAAGAUGGCCGCCAGCCCAGCGCCAAUGCCCAAGAUGGCCGCUGAAACAUUUUUGGAUUAUUUCUCCAUGCUAUCCAAAAUCCUAGAGAUUCCCAGGAGUGUUCACGUCACGUCUGCUGAUCCAGAGACUGUUCACGUCACGUCUGCUGAGCCAGCGCCACAGUACAAGAUGGUCACCAACCCAGUGCCACUGCACAAGGUGACCGCCAGCCUGGAGCCACUGCAGAGGAUGGCAGCUACAGUGGGAUUUCCUGAGUUGAGUCAGGUUCCCGUUGACCCUCAAGAGUUGAUUCCGGUUGACCCUCCAGAUUCGAGUCAUAAUCUUGUUGACCCUCCAGAGUUGAGUCAGGUUCCAUUCGACCUUCCAGAGUCAGGGUCAGUCACCGUUGACCUUCCAGAGUCAGGGCUAGUUCCUGUUAACCUUCCAGAGUCGAGUCAGGUUCUCGUUGACCCUCCUGAGUCGAGUCAUGUUCCAGUUGACCCUCCAGAGUCAAGUCAGAUUCCUGUUGACCUUCCAGAGUCGAGUCAGGUGUCCGUUGACUUUCCAGAGUUGAGUCAGGUUCCGGUUGACCCUCCAGAGUUGAGUCAGGUGCUCGUGGACCCUCUAGAGUUGAUUCAGGUGCUCAUGGACCCUCCGGAGUCAAGGUUAGUCACCGUUGACCUUCGAGAGUCAGGGUCAGUCACCGUUGACCUUCCAGAGUCAGGGCUAGUUCCUGUUGACAUUCCAGAGUCGAGUCAGGUUCUCGUUGACCCUCCUGAGUCGAGUCAUGUUCCAGUUGACCCUCCAGAGUCUAGUCAGAUUCCUGUUGACCUUCCAGAGUCAAGUCAGGUGCCCGUUGACUUUCCAGAGUUGAGUCAGGUGCUCAUGGACCCUCCAGAAUCAGGGUUAGUCACCGUUGAACUUCCAGAGUCAGGGUUAGUCACCAUUGACCUUCCAGAGUCAGGGUCAGUCACCGCUGACCUUCUAGAGUCAGGACUAGUCACCAUUGACCUUCCAGAGUCAGGGCUUGUCACCGUGGACCUUCCAGAGUCAAGGCUAGUUACCGUUGACCUUCCAGAGUCAAGUCAAGUCACUGGUGAUCUUCAAGGACAGAGUCAAGUCACUGGUGAUCUUCAAGGACAGAUUCAAGUCACCGGUGAUCUUCAAGGACCGAGUCAAGUCACCGGGGUUCUUCAUGGGAUAAUUCAAGUCACCAGUGAUCUUCAUGAACAAAGGCAAGUCACCAUUGAUCUUCAUGAACAAGGGCAAGUCACCAUUGAUUUUCAUGAACAAAUACAAGUCACCAAUGGUCUUCAUGAACAAAUGCAAGUCACCAAUUAUCUUCAUGAGCAGAGUCAAGUCAGCAUUGAUCUUCUGGAAUCCAGUAGAAACACCAUGGGAGUACCAGAGUCUCGUCAUUUCUCUGUGGAACUACCACAGCCUCUCCACAUCUCUGAUGAACUACCAGAGCCUCCCCACGUUUCUGCUGAACUAUCAGAGCCUCUCCACAUCUCUGAUGAACUACCAGAGCCUCUCCACGUAUCUGCUGAACUACCAGAGCCGUUCCAUGUCUCUGCUGAACUACUAGAGCCUCCCCUCCGUUCGGCUGAUCUACCAGAGUCUCUCCUCACCUCUGCGGAACUUCCAGAGCCUCUUCGGGUCUCAGUCGAACUCUCGGAGCACCCGACUGAUCCUGUUGUGGCCACGGAGGCUACCCUUAACUUGUUCAUGUUCUCUGUUUCAGACUUGCCCAACCAAACUUGGCCUCCUGUCCAUUCGACCACACGGAUGUGGUGGUCUUCUGUUCCACCCUGGGGGGCGUCUGUUUUGACCGCACGGAUGUGGUGGUCUUCUGCUCCGCCCUGGGGGCCGUCUGGUUCGACCGCACGGAUGUGGUGGUCUUCUGCUCUGCCCUGGGGAGCGUCUGGUUCGGCCGCACGGAUGUGGUGGUCUUCUGCUCCGCCCUAGGGGACGUCUGCUUUGACCGCACAGAUGUGGUGGUCUUCUGCUCCGCCCUGCUCACGUCGCUGGUCCGUCGAGCCACGCUGAAGGAGAGCGAACGGGUGUCCAAGUACGAGAAAAUCCACAACUUCAAGGU